GAUGAACGCUGGCGGCGUGCCUAAUACAUGCAAGUCGAGCGAACAGACGAGGAGCUUGCUCCUCUGACGUUAGCGGCGGACGGGUGAGUAACACGUGGAUAACCUACCUAUAAGACUGGGAUAACUUCGGGAAACCGGAGCUAAUACCGGAUAAUAUGUUGAACCGCAUGGUUCAACAGUGAAAGACGGUCUUGCUGUCACUUAUAGAUGGAUCCGCGCCGCAUUAGCUAGUUGGUAAGGUAACGGCUUACCAAGGCAACGAUGCGUAGCCGACCUGAGGGGGUGGUCGCACACACGGGAACUGAGAAGGAUCCCACACUCCGGGGGGGGGAAGCGGCAGGGACUCCUCCGCAAGGGGGGAGAGCGUGACGGAGGAACGCGGGGGGAGGGAUGAAGGUGUUAGGAUCGGAAAGCGUUGUUAUGAGGAGAGAACAUAUGUGUAAGUACCUGUGCUGAUCUUGACGGUACCUAGUCAAAAAGCCACGGCUAACUCCGUG
rnacentral:rRNA from 1 species